rnacentral:sRNA from 1 species
CAUGAAAGAGGACAUCAAGUGAAGGGAAAAAUCAUGUUAGGAAAGAAAGAUGAAGCCAGCAGUCCCCACUCACUGAGCUAGAAGACCUGGAACACUAGACAGAGGUGGUUCUGAGCUUCCUAGUGGCUGAGGAGAAGAGUGAAAGCGGACCCCAGCCCCUGAUCCAGCAUGGGAGGAUGAAAGCACAGCCAUUGUUCUGGAGACACUUUCUGGUUGUCAUCAUACAGGCUCCCUGGAGGAUGUGCCUCCUCCCCCUUCAGGAUUUAGCUCUUCUACUUCCCCUGGGCUGGUGUGGGUACAUUGUCUGUGCUUUGACAGUCCCUAGAUCCCAUGUGUUCUAGAACCUUCUUUUCCAAAGCAGAACUUUUUUUUUCCCCUGUUUUCUGUUUUUUAAAUCUAUCUCAGCCUCCUGACAAGCAGUAAGAUUUGGAAUAUUUGUUGAGGGGAUAAAUAAAUGAACCCCUUAGUCAGUGCA